rnacentral:rRNA from 1 species
CCUACGGGAGGCAGCAGUGAGGAAUAUUGGUCAAUGGACGAGAGUCUGAACCAGCCAAGUAGCGUGAAGGAUGACUGCCCUAUGGGUUGUAAACUUCUUUUAUAUGGGAAUAAAACGUUCCACGUGUGGGAUUUUGUAUGUACCAUAUGAAUAAGGAUCGGCUAACUCCGUGCCAGCAGCCGCGGUAUUACGGAGGAUCCGAGCGUUAUCCGGAUUUAUUGGGUUUAAAGGGAGCGUAGGUGGAUUGUUAAGUCAGUUGUGAAAGUUUGCGGCUCAACCGUAAAAUUGCAGUUGAAACUGGCAGUCUUGAGUACAGUAGAGGUGGGCGGAAUUCGUGGUGUAGCGGUGAAAUGCUUAGAUAUCACGAAGAACUCCGAUUGCGAAGGCAGUUCACUGGACUGCAACUGACACUGAGGCUCGAAAGUGUGGGUAUCAAACAGGAUUAGAUACCCCUGUAGUC